rnacentral:misc_RNA from 1 species
GUAGGUGAACCUGCGGAAGGAUCAUUCAUAAUAAGUGUUUUACGGCACUUUUUUAAAUCCAUAUCCACCUUGUGUGCAAUGUCAGAGUUGAUUUUUCUCUCGAGAGGAUCAACCCCAAACAUCAACUAUAUCUCAACUCUUUGUCUGAAAAAUAUUAUGCAUAAAACAAUGCAAAAUAAAACUUUCAACAACGGAUCUCUUGGCUCUC